AACCUUCGCAAUGCGCGCAAGCGCGACGAGGUUAUUCCGAGUGAUUUCCGCUGAGGAAAUCUUUUCUCAGAUCUAAAAUGUCUGGGGAAUAAGGGGAGGGCAAGUCUGGUGUCAGCCGCCGCGGUAAUACCAGCUCCUCGAGUGGUCAGGGCGUUUAUUGGGCCUAAAGCAUCCGUAGCCGGCUCAGUAGGUCUCCUGUUAAAUCCAACGGCUCAACUGUUGGUCUGCAGGAGAUACCACUGGGCUAGGAGGCGGGAGAGGCGGACGGUACUCCGAGGGUAGGGGUAAAAUCCUUUGAUCCCCGGAAGACCACCAGUGGCGAAGGCGGUCCGCCAGAACGCGCUCGACGGUGAGGGAUGAAAGCUGGGGGAGCGAACCGGAUUAGAUACCCGGGUAGUCCCAGCUGUAAACGAUGCGAGCUAGGUGACACAAGGCCUUCGGGGCCUUGUGGUGCCGCAGGGAAGCCGUUAAGCUCGCCGCCUGGGGAGUACGGACGCAAGUCUGAAACUUAA
rnacentral:rRNA from 1 species